rfam:Corynebacterium glucuronolyticum ATCC 51866 genomic scaffold SCAFFOLD6, whole genome shotgun sequence.
GGGGCUGACUUUUGGUUUCGACUUCGUUUGUUAAGCCAGGGGAAGCGUGCCGGUGCAGGCAACGACCACCGUGAGCGUCGUAGCAACUUAUUAAGCGCCGAGAAUACUCAGCGCGACUACGCACUCGCUGCAUAAAGCGACUGCCUAGUCUGUCGGCCCAGGUUUGCCUCUGACCUGGUUACCGGCAUCGACUAAGAGGCUUGGGUUUCUCCCGCGUCGGCGGGGGAGGAACCGACAUUUUACCGUCGACUGGGCUCAUCAUCCGGACGUGUUUGCCCGAGCCGGAGAGCCGAGUAGAGAUGCCAGUGCGAACUGCGCACGGAGAAGCCCUGGCUAAAUGACGAAGGACCCGGGUUCGAUUCCCGGCAGCUCCACGA